GGGACUGUAGCUCAGUGGUAGAACACCUGCUUUGAUUGCAGAAGGUUCGAGUUUCAAUCCUUGAUAUUUUUA